CGGCGGAGGAGACGGUGCUCGACGUCCUCGCGGACGGGGGCGAGGAGGAGUGCCACUGGUCCGUGUCAUCGGUUAUCACCAAAGAGUCCCUUUUGGCCGCGCAGAGGGAGGAUCUGAGGAAGGUGAUG